GUAAAUAUAGUUUAAUAAAAACAUUAGAUUGUGAUUCUAAAAACGUAAGUUAAAACCUUUUUAUUUACC
rnacentral:tRNA from 1 species